CUGGGCUUGAACUGCAGAUGAUCGACGGUGAAAGCCGUUUCCCGCAAGGGCAUCUGUAGAGGUGCUGCAUGGCUGUCGUCAGCUCGUGUCGUGAGAUGUUGGGUUAAGUCCCGCAACGAGCGCAACCCUUGUCUGCUGUUGCCAUCAGGUUAAGCUGGGCACUCUGCGGAGACUGCCGGUGACAAACCGGAGGAAGGUGGGGAUGACGUCAAGUCCGCAUGGCCUUUAUGUCCAGGGCCACACACGUGCUACAAUGGGCGGUACAAACCGUUGCGAUCCCGCAAGGGGGAGCUAAUCGGAGAAAGCCGCUCUCAGUUCGGAUUGCAGGCUGCAACUCGCCUGCAUGAAGUUGGAAUCGCUAGUAAUCGCGGAUCAGCACGCCGCGGUGAAUACGUUCCC
rnacentral:rRNA from 1 species